CGCAUCUGUGCAUGCAGCAUAUCAAUAAGCGGAGGAAAAGAAACUAACAAGGAUUCCCCUAGUAACGGCGAGUGAAGCGGGAAGAGCUCAAAUUUGAAAUCUUAAAGGGUUUCCCUGUACGAAUUGUAGUUUAAAGAAGUGUUUUCUGUUGAGGUUUUGGUAAAAGUUCUUUGGAAUAGGACAUCAUAGAGGGUGAGAAUCCCGUAUUUGACCUUUACUUUUCAACUUUGUGAUACACUUUCAAAGAGUCGGAUUGUUUGGGAAUGCAGUCCAAAAUGGGUGGUAAAUUUCAUCUAAAGCUAAAUAUUGGCGAGGAGACCGAUAGCGAACAAGUACCGUGAGGGAAAGAUGAAAAGAACUUUGAAAAGAGAGUUAAACAGUACGUGAAAUUGUCAAAAGGGAAGCGUUUGACACCAGUGUUGUUUUUCUGAAAAUCAAUUAAAGAACUGUUUAUGCUAAGUUGUUUAGACUUUAUCAGCUAACUGUUUAGUUUUGAGCUUUUCUUUAAUGCACUUUUCAGUUAACAAGUCAACAUCAAUUUCUUUUGCUGUAAAAAAGCUUGAGGAAGGUGGCUUGAGAUUCGUCUUAAGUGUUUAUAGCCUCUUGCCUAUGCAGUCGGAGAGAUUGAGGUCUGCAGCGUAGAUCCUUCGGGGCUAAAUGCAUUUGUGCUAAGUUAUAGCAUUUUAUAGACAACUUGUUGACUAUGAUUUGUCUUGUAGCUUACUCGCUUAUGUUAUUUUACCUACGCUUAGGAUGUUGAACGCGCACAGAGUCUC
rnacentral:rRNA from 1 species